AUUGAACGCUGACGGCAGGCCUAACACAUGCAAUUCGAACGAGUGGCGGACGGGUGCGUAAUGUAUGGGAAACUGCCUGAUGAAGGGGGAUAACUACUGGAAACGGUAGCUAAUACCGCAUACCAUCAGAUGUGCCCAGAUGGGAUUAGCUAGGUGGUGGGGUAACGGCUCACCAGGGCGACGAUCCCUAGCUGGUCUGAGAGGAUGACCAGCCACACUGGAACUGAGACAAGGUCCAGACUCCUACGGUAGGCAGCAGUGGGUAAUAUUGCACAAUGGGCGCAAGCCUGACGCAGCCAUGCCGCGUGUAUGAAGAAGGCCUUCGGGUUGUAAAGUACUUUCAGCGGGGAGGCGUUACCCGCAGAAGAAGCACCGGCUAACUCCGUGCCAGCAGCCGCGGGAAUAC
rnacentral:rRNA from 1 species